GACCCAUCUCUUCCCCCCCCCACUUAGGCAUUUUCGAUCAAUCUCAUUUCUCCCUCAAGUUACUCUCUAGUUCCAACAAAUCCAAAGAAAUCCAAGUGCAGAGCUCAACCAUAUUACGAAUGGAUCAAGCUGCCACAAAACUCAGAUUUCAGCAACUCAAACCAGAGGUUGGCUGACUGGUGCUGACGGGACUGAGUUGAGGCUAGGGUUCAACUUCCUUUUAAGACUUCCGCUGUAGCAGUAAAUAAUAUCUUGUCUUUUGUUUUCUCAACUUAAGACUUUCAUAUCAAAUUUAGAAUGACAUCUCUGAUUGAGCCUAAACACUUAACUCCUAGUUUUAUGCUAAUGAAUACUGGUUAUCAGAAGCAUGAAACAAAACUUGUGAUCCAAAGGGGCCUAGCCCGACUUGUUACCUUCUAUUCGGUUUCAACAAGGAUUUUUCCUUGUGUUAUUUUCAUGAUUUAGUUGCA